rnacentral:rRNA from 1 species
GAUGAACGCUGGCGGCGUGCCUAAUACAUGCAAGUCGAGCGAACAGAUAAUGAGCUUGCUCCUCUGACGUUAGCGGCUGACGGGUGAGUAACACGUGGAUAACCUACCUAUAAGACUGGGAUAACUUCGUGAAACCGGAGCUAAUACUGGAUAAUAUAUUGAACCGCAUGGUUCAAUAGUGAAAGACGGUUUUCCUGUCACUUUUAGAUGAAUCCGCGCCGCAUUAGCUAGUUGGUAAGGUAACGGCUUACCAAGGCAACGAUGCGUAGCCGACCUGAGAGGGUGAUCGGCCACACUGGAACUGAGACACGGUCCAGACUCCCACGGGAGGCAGCAGUAGGGAAUAUUCCGCAAUGGGCGAAAGCCUGACGGAGCAACGCCGCGUGAGUGAUGAAGGUCUUCGGAUCGUAAAACUCUGUUAUUAGGGAAGAACAAAUGUGGAAGUAACUAUGCACGUCUUGACGGUACCUAAUCAGAAAGCCACGGCUAACUACGUG